UGCUGGGCCCCACGCUCGCUGGUGGAGACCUCGAAGACAUAGGCGGUGCAGAGCAGCAGUUCCUGGGUGUCUCUGUUUGUCACCACCUGCCAGGAAGGCCAGGACAAGGGACUUAUGCUUAGAAGGGAGGGCAGGGACCCCUGUGCCCCCCUGCCAAGCUAUCAUGGAAUACCCAGCAGGCUCUUUUCCAUCUCCAGGAAACAGGCCGCCACCAUAUCAUGUUCCCCAGGAGAAAGGGAUGCCCAAAAGUCAGUUCCCUGGGCAAUGGGGGUUACCCCUCAGCUGAGCGUUGGCAGUUAUGGUGUAUCACAUCUCAGGGUUAAUCGGGUUCCCAUCACAUCACAUUCCCUGGGUAAAAGGGGUCCCCAUCAUGUCACAAGUAAAGGGAGAACCCUCCCUGCAGGUUCCGCGGUCAAGGGGUCUCUGCCUCAGCAGUCCAAAAAGUUAAAGGGGCUCCCACCAUAUCAUGUUCCUUGACAAGCUGAGGAUCUGCCUUCGAGUGCCCUCCAGUCAGCUUCACCAGGGAAGGAGGGACCCACCUUAUGUGCGAGUGCUGUGGGGCUGGGCGUGGUGGCUCACACCUGUAAUCCCAGCACUUUGGGAGGCCUAGGCAGGUGGAUCACUUGAGGUCGGAGAUCAAGACCAACCUGGCCAACAUGGUGAAACCCCAUCUCUACUAAAAAUACAAAAAUUAGCCAGGCGUGGUGGGGCGUGCCUGUAAUCCCAGCUACUCGGGAGGCUGAGGCAGGAGAAUCACUUGAACCCGGGAGGCAGAGGUUGCAGUGAGCCGAGAUCUUGCCACUGCACUCCAGCCUGGGCGACAGAGCGAGACUCCAUCUCAAAAAAAAAAAGAGAGAGAGUGCUGUGACAUCCCCACCCUGGGUGAAGGGUCCCCUAAACUAAGGGUCAAUGGUGGGGUCCCCGCUGCAUCAGUUUCCUAGUUAAAAGAGCCUCAGGCUGAGGGCUCACUUUGGAGUCCCUGCUGUGUCAGUUCCUGGGUGAGGAGAUCCCCUAGACUGAGGGUCUGUUAUAGGUACUGUCCCUCCACACUGGGGGGCCCCACUCCAGCCCAGCCCCAGGCAUCACCUGGAGGAUGGUGAAGUUUUCCAGGACGCUGUUCAUCAUGUAUCGCUCAGGCAGCUGCCGCAACUUGUGCAAGAAAUUCACCAGUGACUGGAGACUGGGCCUGAACCCUCGGAGAUCCGAAUCAGGAUCUCUGAGCCUGCAAAUCACAAGCCCCUCAAAGUGAUUCUCUGAACCCCCAAAGACCUCUGGACUCCUCUAACCUCCCAGCCCUCAGAUACCCUCCAAAGACCCCUCCAUGACGUCUUCAAACUCUGACUUCUAAACUUGAGACUUCCCCAAGUCUCCAGCAACUAAUCAACUGCAUCUGGCGGUUCCACGAAGGCUGAGAACUCUACCAGCUGCAACCGGGCGGUGCCCAGGCCCCGAGCCUGCCAGGCUGGGGGCGAUGGGGUAGGUGGGGGCAGGGGUGAGAGGGCUUGGGGGGGCUCGUACCCUAGAGAGAGAGAAGAAAGAACAAUACAAAUUGCUAACAUUUAUGGAAUAUAUCAGGUACUGUUGUCUCUUGCCUGCCUCCACUUAGAAGCUGAAAAAGCUAAAUACUCACUUUCCCAGCCUCCCUUGCAGUUAGAAGUGGCCAUGUGACACAGUCCUAGCCAAUGAGACGUUAGGGGAAAUCUGCUGGGGGGCUUCUGGGAAGGAGUUUCUUCCUGAAUGAAAAAGACAGAACUUUGGGAGGAGAAAGCUUUUGGCCCUGGCCAAGUCCUGCUUGGGAGAUUGAUAUGGUUUGGAUAUUUGUCCCCUCCAAAUCUCAUGUUGAAAUGUGAUCCCCAGCUGGGCACGGUGGCUCACACCUGUAAUCCCAGCACUUUGGGAGGCCAACGCAGGUGGAUCACAAGGUCAGGAGAUUGAGACCGUCCUGGCUAACAUGGUGAAACCCUGUCUCUACUAAAAAUACAAAAUAUUAGCUGGGCAUGGUGGCACGUGCCUGUAAUCCCAGCUACUUAGGAGGCUGAGGCAGGAGAAUGGCUUGAACCCAGGAGGCGGGGGUUGCAGUGAGCCGAGAUUGCGCCACUGCACUCCAGACUGGGGGACAGAGCGAGACUCUGUCUCAAAAAAAAAAAAAAAAGUGUGAUCCCCAAGGUUGGAGGUGGGGCCUGAUGGGAAGUGCUUGGGUCAUGGGGGUGGAUCCCUCAUGAAUGUCUUGGUGCCUUCCCCAUAGUAACAAGUGAAUUCUCACUCUUUGAGUUGAUGUGAGCUGGCUGUUUAAAGGAGCCUGGCUUCGCUCUCUUGCUCCCUCUCACCAUGUGACAUAGUGGCUCCCCUUCCCCUUCCACCAUGGUCCUAAGCUUCCUGAGGCCCUCACCAGAAGCAUAGGCUGGCAACAUGCUUCCUGUACAGCCUGCAGAACUGUGAACCAAAUAAACCUCUUUUCUUUAUAAAUCACCCAGUUUCAGGCAUUCCUUUACAGCAAUGCAAAUGGACCAACACAGACAUGAUCCCUGGAGUUGCAACAGCCAUCUUGGGACAAUAAGACAGACAUGAGAGGAACUACAGAGAUUCCAGUCCUGAUAUUGCUAAGCCCACACGGGAACAGCCCACCUCCAGGCUUUUUGUUGCAUGGAUUCAUAACAUGAAUGCUUUUACUAUUUAAGGCACUUUUAAUGUGGGUCUUCUGUUACUUGCAGCCAAAAGUAUUCCUAAUUGAUAAAUCUAUGGAAACUAAGGGACUCCCUCUUUCACUGAUGUGAGUUCUCAGGGCCAUAUCAGCAUGGACUUCCAGAAGCCAUCUUUGCUGCCAAGUAGCUGAGUCUGCCUGGGAAUGAAGCCACCACAGUGGAAAGCAGAUCAAAGUAAUGACUGAUGCCAUCACUUGAGCCGCUGGAUCCAGCCACGCCUGAGGCCAUAAUUCUGAACUGUCAGUUACUGGAACCAAUAAAUCAAUACAUUUUUCUUAUUAUUUUUUAUUUUAUUUAUUUAUUUAUUUUGAGACAGAGUCUUGCUCUGUCGCCCAGUCUGGAGUGCAACGGU
rnacentral:lncRNA from 1 species